rnacentral:snoRNA from 1 species
AAGACUGUAUUUUCAGGGAUUAUUUUUAUAGUUCAUUCCUAGAGAGCUUUCUCCGAAUGUGUAGAGCAUCAAAAAUCUUUAAGGAGGCUAGAGAAGA